UUUUAAUUCGAACGAUACGAAAGUGGCUCUCCGCGCGCCAACGUGGUCUCCUCUCUCUCACCAGUCUCGUCUUCUCUCUCUGCGUCCUUUCGACGAAGACUCGAAGCCGUGCCCAAAGAAGCCGCAAUGGAGCGCGCCACGUUUCUCCCCUCCCAUCCAUUCCCUUCACCAAACCCUAACCCUAACUCUCUCCCCUUCUCCCCCCUCGCCUUCGCCCUCCAUCCCUCGAUCGCCCCUCCAAAUGUCUCUCCCCGACGCCGCCGCCGCCGCCGCCGCCGCUGCCGCUUCCCGGAGGACUCCCCACCCUACGCCGCCGGAGAAGGACGAUCCAGAGGAGAGUGACGACGACUUGUUCACGGUGCCCGACGUGGAGUCGGGCCCGAGCAGCUCGGGAGCAUUGACGGUGGCGGCGGAGAUCCAGCAGAGCACCAGCAGCGGUGGCGGCGGGGCUGGGCCCUCCAAGAGCCGCCGGGGCCGGAAUCCAGCAGACCGGGAGUACCGAAGGCUGAAGAGGUUGCUUAGGAACAGGGUUUCUGCUCAGCAAGCUAGAGAAAGAAAGAAGGUUUAUGUGAAUGACCUUGAAUCCAGAGCCAAAGAGCUGCAUGACAAAAAUUUGAAGUUAGAAGAAAAAAUUUCAACUUUGAUCAACGAGAACACUAUGCUUAGGAAGGUUCUUAUGAACACCAGGCCUAAAGUUGAUGAAGGCCUUUAUCUCCUCUUUCUCCUGGAGGGCUUCAUAUCUCAAUUGCAAGGGUAUCUCUUGUUGCUUCAUUUGUAUGAAGGCUUUUCAACUAUAGACUGAAGAACCUUGGCUAGAAUUUUGUCUAGGCGCCUUUUGGUUAGAUUACACACCCUGCUUUGCCAUAACUUGUUGGCGUGAUCUGACUGGUUUGUUGACAUGACAUUUCUAGGAAGUCUUUUGGACAAUAAGAAUGUAAUAGAAAUUAUGAAAUCAUAGAGCUUUAUAUCUAUCAGUGAACUAGGGGGCCAAGGUUAGUCGAUGAUGCAAGGUAUGAGGAAAGCUACCACUUUCCAAUAAGCAAAAGAAGAAAUCUGAUUGCUUAAAGAUGGAAUUGGUAAAGAUGGAAUAGGGGAGUAGGGGGACAAAGCAGCACUUUCAACCAGACAGGUUUUAGUCAUGAUCCCCAUGAAGUUUUGGAAAAGUAUUAUUACAAACUUACAAUGUGAAGCAUUUCUACCAUUGACAUGGCAUCCAAAUGUUGCGGAUGCUGUCAGAAAGGUUACACUGGAUGAACUUCCGUGCAGAUGAUAAACACUUCCAGCUGAAAAAUGUUUGACUCGGCAUAGUUGAAGGCGAUUCAAACUGCAUGGCGAUUUCACUGAACCUAAAUUUAAGAAUUUCAAGUGUGUGGAGAUCAUAAUGUUUUGAUUGGCCAAUUCACUUGGUAAAUAAUUCUUGAAUGAUAGAACUGAGGGUGCUCUUAUACCAAUGGCUAAUAAAUUUUGAUGUCUGUUUCAAAUUAUUGUAACCGGUAGCUGAUACCAUUUUAAUGGGACAGAAUCAUUAAGGUU